rnacentral:rRNA from 1 species
ACAUGCCUACAACAUCGUGUUAAUUCACUGGAUCCCAUUAUAACUCCACAAUUAAGCACACUUAGGCUAGAGUAGUACUUGGAUGAGUGACCACCAAUGAAGUCCUAGUGUUUUACAUGCC